AUACGAAAGGUGCAAGCGUUGUUCGGAUUUACUGGGCGUAGAGAGAGUGUAGGUUGUUUAUUAAGUCGGAUGUGAAAUCCCGGGGCUCAACCUCGGAACUGCAUUCGUUACUGGUAGACUAGAGUUCGGGAGGGGUAAGCGGAAUUCCGUGUGUAGCAGUGAAAUGCGUAGAUAUACGGAGGAACACCUGAGGCGAAGGCGGCUUACUGGACCGAUACUGACACUGAGACUCGAAAGCGUGGGUAGCAAACAGGAUUAGAAACCCUAGUAGUCC
rnacentral:rRNA from 1 species